GCAUAGUUGGCCGAGUGGUUAAGGCGUUGGAUUCAAGUCCCAAUGGAGUAAUCCGCACAGGUUCGAGUCCUGUACUAUGCA